rnacentral:rRNA from 1 species
CAGCAGCCACGGUAAUACAGAGGGUGCGAGCGUUAAUCGGAUUUACUGGGCGUAAAGCGUGCGUAGGCGGCUUUUUAAGUCGGAUGUGAAAUCCCUGAGCUUAACUUAGGAAUUGCAUUCGAUACUGGGAAGCUAGAGUAUGGAAGAGGAUGGUAGAAUUCCAGGUGUAGCGGUGAAAUGCGUAGAGAUCUGGAGGAAUACCGAUGGCGAAGGCAGCCAUCUGGCCUAAUACUGACGCUGAGGUACGAAAGCAUGGGGAGCAAACAGGAUUAGAUACCCCUGUAGUCCCUGUCUCUUAUAC